rnacentral:lncRNA from 1 species
AACAGAAUAGAAUUUGAAACGGAACAGGGGAGAAAGAAAGAAAGAAAAAGUAAAGAAGAAAUUAGGGUUUUUAAGGUUCAAUUUCAAAUUGGUAAGUCAAAUUAAGUCAUUUUCUUGAAAUUUUUGAGUUUUUAUGAUUCUAGAACAAAAUACUAUUAGGUAUAUGUUGAAAUUUUGAAAGUUAGUAGAAUUUUUUAUGCAGUUUAUAUUGAAUUAGUGGAUGAAUUAGAGAUUGAGUUGAUGGAAAUUCAAACUAGGAUUGGGAAAAUGAUUAAAUUGAGAAAUAAGUUAUAAGUUUAAUGUAAAAUUGUAAGAAAUUCGAAAUUUAGGUUUAUUAGUGAAAAUUUGAGAGUUAAGUCAAGUUGUAAGUAGAAUUAAGUAAAAAUAAGGUAUAGAUUGUGAUAGAAAUAGAAAUAAUUUUAGUUAUGAAUUAAAUUGAAAUGUUAGCUAAGGUAAGAAAUUAUGAAAUUAUUAUAUCAUAUAUGUUUAUUUUUAUUAAAUAAUAUAGGAAAGUUAUUUGAUUGUUUUUCUAAUAUAUAUAAAUAUUAUGUGUUUUAUAUGAAAUUGAAGAGAAAGAAAGGAAAGGAAAGGAUCUAAUUGAAGAAAACGGAAAAGAGAAGGCUAAGGAGUGAAGGAAGACAUCAUCUCAACCUUUUUGUUGUAAGUACUACAAGAUAAUUUUACUUUAAAAUUUUUAUUUAAAUGCUUAUAUUAUAGUAUAGAAUUAUUUAGAAAUAAAAAUAAUAAAGUAAAAUAAAAGAUUAUGGAAUUAUGAAAUUUGUAAAGAAAAUUAUAGGUGGAAAGUAUAAGGUGGUAUAUUGUUUGAACAUUAAGUAAAUGUUGUGACAAAAGUAUAUAUAUGUGAAAAUGGUGUGAAAAUUGUGAAUUGUGAAAUAAGCACUAAAUUGUUAUGAUGGAGAAAUGAGAAGUCUUUUUCGAAAUAAUUCUAUAAAGUAUUUAAAUGAAUGAAAUUCAGUUCUAAUGCCCAAGUAGAUGGAUUUUUAGAACUACCAGGAUAUUAGUGGCAUGCCAUUAAGGAACUUUAGCGCGCUCUCUGAUUAUUAGCACGUUGGUGCUCUCUGAUUAUUAGCACGUCAGUGCUCUCUGAUUACUAGCACGUCAGUGCUCUCUGUUUAGCACAUCUGUGCUCUCUGUAUAGCACUUUACUGCUCUCUGUUCAUUAGUGCAUAAUAAUGCACCUCUGUAUUUGUUCCGUAUAUCCAGUGCGUUCUAUAUAAAUCUACUUUGGGCUAAGAUUAUGUUUUGUGGAUAAAAGCAAAUCAUUAAUAUGCUAAGGUAAGUUUUAUGAAGCUUAUACGUACGUAAAUACGUAAUAACAGAAUGAGUUUGAAAUAUUUUAUUUAGAUUUAUUUAUCUGUUUAUUCUUGUAGUGCUUACUAAGCCUUCAUCGGCUUAACGCGUUUAAUUUUAACGCGUAGGUACAGUUUGACUCGAAGAGGUAAAGUCAGUAUAGAAGAUUUCUCAUCUCAUCACAUCCUCAAAAGCUUCAAAAGUAGGUACCAUAUUUUAAAUUAAAAUGGCAUGUACAUAGA